rnacentral:rRNA from 1 species
AGAGUUUGAUCAUGGCUCAGGAUGAACGCUAGCUACAGGCUUAACACAUGCAAGUCGAGGGGAAACGACAUCGAAAGCUUGCUUUUGAUGGGCGUCGACCGGCGUACGGGUGAGUAACGCGUAUCCGGGGAACCUGCCCACCACUUGGGGAUAACCUUGCGAAAGUAAGACUAAUACCCAAUGAUAUCUCUAGAAGACAUCUGAAAGAGAUUAAAGAUUUAUCGGUGAUGGAUGGGGAUGCGUCUGAUUAGCUUGUUGGCGGGGUAACGGCCCACCAAGGCGACGAUCAGUAGGGGUUCUGAGAGGAAGGCCCCCCACAUUGGAACUGAGACACGGUCCAAACUCCUACGGGAGGCAGCA